GACGGGGCGGGGCCCGGUAGGCUAGCGAGGGCAGGGAGGCGGGGCCUCGGGAAGGCGGAGAGGAAGGCGUGUGCAAGGCGGGGUCUCGCGCCCGCUACGGCCGGGGGCGGGACCCGGGAGGCUUGCGCAGGUCAGGUCAGCGUGUCUGCGGCGCUGCGCGGGGCGGUCAAAAUGGCGGCUUCCAGCUGGGCGCGCAAGGCCGUAGUCCUGCUUUGUGCCUCUGACCUGCUGCUGCUGCUGCUGCUGCUACCACCGCCUGGGUCCUGCGCGGCCGAAGGCUCACCCGGGACGCCCGACGAGUCUACUCCACCUCCCCGGAAGAAGAAGAAGGAUAUUCGCGAUUACAAUGAUGCAGACAUGGCGCGUCUUCUGGAGCAGUGGGAGAAAGAUGAUGACAUUGAAGAAGGAGAUCUUCCAGAGCACAAGAGACCUUCAGCACCUGUCGACUUCUCAAAGAUAGAUCCAAGCAAGCCUGAAAGCAUAUUGAAAAUGACGAAAAAAGGGAAGACUCUCAUGAUGUUUGUCACUGUAUCAGGAAGCCCCACUGAGAAGGAGACAGAGGAAAUUACGAGCCUCUGGCAGGGCAGCCUUUUCAAUGCCAACUAUGACGUCCAGAGGUUCAUUGUGGGAUCAGACCGUGCUAUCUUCAUGCUUCGCGAUGGGAGCUACGCCUGGGAGAUCAAGGACUUUUUGGUCGGUCAAGACAGGUGUGCUGAUGUAACUCUGGAGGGCCAGGUGUACCCUGGCAAAGGAGGAGGAAGCAAAGAGAAAAAUAAAACAAAGCAAGACAAGGGCAAAAAAAAGAAGGAAGGAGAUCUGAAAUCUCGGUCUUCCAAGGAAGAUAAUCGAGCUGGGAAUAAAAGAGAAGACCUGUGAUGGGGCAGCAGUGACGUGGUGUGGAGGGACAGGUGGAUGUGGAGAGCUCUUUGCCCAGCUCGUGGGGUGGGAGUGGUCUCAGGCAACUGCACACUGGAUGACAUUCUAGUGUCUUCUAGAAAGGGUCUGCCGCAUGACCAGUUUGUGGUCAAAGAAUUACUGUUUAAUAGGCUUCAAGUAAGAAGACAGAUGUUUUCUAAUUAAUACUGGACACUGACAAAUUCAUGUUUACUAUAAAAUCACCUUACAUGGAAAUGUGACUGUGUUGCUUUUUCCCAUUUACACUUGGUGAGUCAUCGACUCUGCUGAGAUUCCACUCCCCUCCAAGCACCUGCUGUGAUUGGGUGGCCUGCUGUGUCCAUGUUUUUUAUUUUCUGUCAACUAGGAGGAUAGCAAAUUCUGAUCAGAGAAGACUUUAAAACUCUUAAUUGAGUAAACUCUUCAUGCCGUAUACAUCAUUUUCAUCAUGUUAAAGGGAUGGGCACAACUUGGAAGAUUUUGGCUUUGUGAUCCUCAGUGUCCAGUGUCACCCAGAUGGGCCGGAAGCUGCCUUUGAAGCCAACGAAUGCCAUUUGCUCUGAAAAGCAAUGAUAAGUCUCCUGAGCAAAAGCCCUAUGAGAGGACGGCUGCCCCACCCCGUUCCAUGGCUCCCCAUUGCCAGCCCCCCACCCCCACCAGGUAACCCCUAGCCACACUGCACUGUUGUCCCUUGGGAAGAGCUGUGCUCAGCUACUGAUGGUGCCUGACAUGUGUUUGUAUGGGGCAGGCAGGGUCUCACCUGAGCCUCACUGCCACCUAGGCAGGGUGAUGGCUUUGCUAUAGACAGGGGAGCCAUGCACAGCAGGAAAUGGGGCAAACUGUAAGGGGGGAGACCUCCUAGGAACCUGCCUACCUUCGAGCUGCCCCUAGGACAACCAGCAAGUCCGUGCCCCUCUCUGAAGCCCAGUGUUCCCAUCCGUCAAACGAUGGCAUUGAUCUACAAGAUCUCCUCCCCGGCUCUAUCACUCUGUGGCUCUAGAAGGAGUUUUGAGAGGUGAAGGAAUUUGACCAAGAGUGUGGAGUAAAUGGUGCACCCCAGAUUAGAACUCUAAACCCCUGAAACCCACCAGCACUCUCUAUCUUGCAGUUCAGAGCUUGAGCAUCCAAGGGGCAUGGCAAACUACGUCUGUACUCAGCCCAUCUUGGCAGGCAACAUGCAUUUAUCACCACCAGGAAAGUGCCAUUCAACUUAGGUCACCUUACAUACAUCAGCUUUUGGCAACCGGGAUCUUAAUUUAAAAGACAGAGGCUCCAAAAUGAUUUCAGGACUGGGCUGGAAAGGAUACUUCUCUUUUCCUUAUGUCCUCCUUUGGCUGGUUUGAAGGGUUUGCAUUGCUUCUGAUCUUUCUCAUCACCCUAUAUGAUGGGCUUCUGAUUUUGAUGUUUUCCAUAGUGAGGAUGGUGUAUAACUAAGAAGCCCAGCUUUGAGUUAGGAAGAUUAGGAUCCAAGUCCUAACCUUAAGCAAGUGGCUUGGCUGUUAAAUUCUUGGUGUCCUCAUCUUAAAUGGAAAUAAUAGUACCUGCUGCACAAGUUAUUAAUGAGUAAGUGAGAUAAUUAUAACAUGUUCUGCAAAGUGCAAGGCUGAACAUUAAAUAGCAACCCCAAUGAUCAUUAUCAUUAUUGCCCGUGGAGAUUCUCUGCUGCCCACACAACCUCUCUGAGGACUCUCCCUGCACCUAGUUUUUGUGAUGAUAAUGGGUGUCAUGCUGACGUGUCCCUCCUGAAUGGCUUCUUCCAGCACAGCCAGCAAGCCUGUGCUAGGCUUCACCACCGAAGCUGCCUGGCCUUGGACAAGCCAUAUAGGUUCUCUGGGCUUUAGUUUUCUUUUCAUCUACCUGUCUCAGAGGAACAAAUAAGAGUUUUGCAAGCUGCAAAGGACUGUGCAAAUGCUAGGCAUCAGGUAGAAUGUUGAAGAAGAUGCAGGACCCCUGGCCAUUCUGAAUAGCAGGAAUUGGGUAGGAGGGUGAGACUAAGCCACUUUUCUUAUGAUACUUUUGUUGAAUAAAGGGCCACUUUCCAAGCAAA